rnacentral:sRNA from 1 species
AAGCAGAGGAAGGGAAGAAACAUUCUUGGCAGAGCUUAUAAUGUACAAAGUCACAGAUAAAAGAACUUGACUUUCUAGGUCGUAGGGUACAUUGGUGGGAGAUGGGGUAGAAAGUUUAAGAGAAAUGGCAGAUGAGGAGGCAGAAAAAAUAGGUUGCAAACUGAUCAAGAGCCAGUUUGCCAUGCUGGCAGGGAAAGAACCCUAAUGUUGCACCCAUUUUCUUUACCAUCUCAUCCAGACAAGCAGCGCUAACCAGGCCAGAAGAGUUAUCCUAUGAAGUUAUCAACAUACAAGCCACCCAGGACCAGCAACGGAGCGAGGAGCUGGCUCGAAUCAUGGGGGAGUUUGAGAUCAUGGAGCAGCCAAGGCUGAGCACCAGCAAAGGGGACGAUUUGCUCGCCAUGAUGGAUGAGUUAUAGCUGUUCUGACCAGGCGUCCUCUGCCCCCAGGGAGAGGCUGCUGGAUGGUGACCCCUGGGGAAUGCCCCAUGGCCCAGAAUGAUGCUGCUAGUUUUCUACUGAGUGAAGCCAUUACGUCUAUUUCUUGUUUAUGUUGUAAGGAACUGUGUGAGUCUCCCUUGAGGAGCACUCACUCUUGAAGGCACACACAUACACAUAUUUUCAGUGAAAUACAUUCUGACUUUUAAA